UUCAAGCUAAUAAGGGCGCACGGUGGAUGCCCUGGCGCCAGGAGCCGAUGAAGGGCGCUGUCGACGGCGAUAGCCCCGGGGAGCCGUCUAGCAGGCUUCGAUCCGGGGGUGCCCGAAUGGGGAAACCCGGCUGGGGUCAUGCCCAGUCAUCCCGCGCUGAAUACAUAGGCGCGGAGAAGGCAAGCAGGGGAACUGAAACAUCUUAGUACCCUGAAGAAGAGAAAUCAACCGAGAUUCCCCUAGUAGUGGCGAGCGAACGGGGAAGAGCCUAAACCGUCUGUGCGUGAUAGCCCUCCGGCGUUGCACAGGCGGGGUCAUAGGCCGUCGUCGGAUCGGGCGGAGGCCCGGUCGGGAAGUUACCAACCUCAGCGUUAGCCGAACUGUCCUGGAACGGCGGGCCAUAGACGGUGAAAGCCCGGUAGGCGAAAACUCUGAGGCUUCCUGGAUGACGGUCCUGAGUACUGCGGGACACGUGGAACCCCGUGGGAACUCGGGGGGACCACCCUCCAAGGCUAAAUACUCCUGGCGACCGAUAGCGAACUAGUACCGUGAGGGAAAGGUGAAAAGCACCCCGGAAGGGGAGUGAAAUAGUACCUGAAACCGUGUGCCUACAAUCAGUCGAAGGGCUAUGCCGGAGCCGCAAGGUUCCGGAAUGCCUGACGGCCUGCCUAUUGAAGAAUGAGCCGGUGAGUUACUCCGUGUGGCGAGCUUAAGGGGGACACCCCGGAGGCGUAGGGAAACCGAGUCUGAAUAGGGCGACUAGUCGCACGGAGUAGACCCGAAACCGGGUGAUCUACCCAUGGCCAGGGUGAAGCGAGGUUAACCCCUCGUGGAGGCCCGGACUGGUCAGUGUUGAAAAACUGUCGGAUGAGCUGUGGGUAGCGGUGAAAUGCCAAUCGAACCCGGAGAUAGCUGGUUCUCCCCGAAAUGCAUUUAGGUGCAGCCCCGGAGCUAGCGUCGCGGUGGUAGAGCACUGGAUGGGCUAGGGGGGCAGGAGCCCUACCGAACCCAACCAAACUCCGAAUGCCGUGCCGUGGUGCCCGGGAGUGAGACUGCGGGGGAUAAGCUUCGUGGUCGAGAGGGGAACAACCCAGAUCGUCGGCUAAGGUCCCAAAGUGCUAGCUAAGUGGGAAAGGAAGUGGCAUCGCCCAGACAGCCAGGAGGUUGGCUCAGAAGCAGCCAUCCUUGAAAGAGUGCGUAACAGCUCACUGGUCGAGUGAUGCUGCGCCGAAAAUGUAACGGGGCUCAAGCUAGCCACCGAAGCCACGGGUCCGCCGAGGGUAUCGUCCCGAAGCGGGCGGUAGGGGAGCGUUCCGUAGUAGGUGAAGGCAGACCGCGAGGACUGCUGGACGAGGCGGAAGUGAGAAUGCCGGCAUGAGUAGCGAAAAGGCAGGUGAGAAUCCUGCCCGCCGCAAGCCUCAGGUUUCUUAAGGAAGGUUCGUCCGCUUAAGGUUAGGCGGGACCUAAGGUGAGGCCGAAAGGCGUAGCCGAUGGACAGCCGGUCGACAUUCCGGCCCCGCAUCGGGUUCGUUAUCAACGUCGUGGGGACGCAGAAGGGUAGACCAACCGGCGAUUGGUUGUGCCGGGCCAAGCAGGUAGGGGGAGGCGCCUGGCAAAUCCGGUGCCUCGUAACCCCGAGACGCGAGUGCGAGCGGGGGGUCAAAGCCCCGCGAAGAGGUUAAGCCCACGCUGCCUAGAAAAGCUGCGACGCGAGAAUUCGGUGCGCCCGUACCGCAAACCGACACAGGUAGGCUGGCACGCAACGUGCCAAGGCGCGCGAGAUAACCCUGGUCAAGGAACUCGGCAAUCUGACCCCGUAACCUCGGAACAAGGGGUGCCUCCGUAGGGUGACCCUGUACAAGGGAAGCCCGAAGAGGUCGCAGGGAAUCGGCUCAAGCGACUGUUUAACAAAAACACAUGUCUCUGCUAAGCCGCAAGGCGAUGUAUAGGGGCUGACACCUGCCCAGUGCCGGAAGGUUAAAGGGAGGGGUUAGCCGCAAGGCAAAGCCCUGAACUGAAGCCCCGGUGAACGGCGGCCGUAACUAUAGGCUGGACCGCUGUAGUUACGUUAAAAAAUCCGGCUAUAUGCUGGGAAACCUGAGUAUCCUGCGCUACCAGUGAUGUACAGAUGUUGUGAUAUACUGGUGACAAUGCGUAGGUGCAGGCAAUCAGCAGGGAAGGCCAGGCUGCUCGUUGGUCUGGAACCCUCAGAGACUGCACGCCGGACCCUGAACACUGCAGGGAUGAUACAGUCCGGCCUGCGUGGCGACACGCAGAGCGGGUAAUCAAUCCCGCCGCCCAGAGAAUGGGUCGUAACAUGACGAACGGUCCUAAGGUAGAUUCGCUGCCCUCCGCAUCGGUGACGAUGUGGUGAGCAUCCGGCCAUAUGCUGGGAACCCUGAGGAUCUGGCGGUACCCGAGGUAGUUCAUACUCCGGGUGACAAUCCGACCAGUGCAGGCAAUCAGCAGGGAAGGCCAGACGGAAAAUGUCUGGAACCCUCAGAGACCAUACGCCGGACAUCCGGAGCGCCGGANNNNNNNNNNNNNNNNNNNNNNNNNNNNNNNNNNNNNNNNNNNNNNNNNNNNNNNNNNNNNNNNNNNNNNNNNNNNAGCGAAAUUCCUUGUCGGGUAAGUUCCGACCUGCACGAAUGGUGUAACGACUUGAGCGCUGUCUCGACCAGGGACUCGGCGAAGUUGUGGUGUUCGUGAAGACACGAACUCCCCGCAGCUGGACGGAAAGACCCCGUGGAGCUUUACUGUACCCUGUCAUUGGGUGUGGUUCUGUCAUGUAGAGGAUAGGUGGGAGGCUACGAAGCCGGGGCGCUAGCUUCGGUGGAGCCAACCUUGGAAUACCACCCUUGAUUGAAUUACGUUCUAACCGACGACCUUAUCGGUUGUCGGGACAGUGGCAGGCGGGCAGUUUGACUGGGGCGGUCGCCUCCCAAAUGGUAACGGAGGCGCCCCAAGGUCCCCUCAGCACGGUUGGAA
rnacentral:rRNA from 1 species